rnacentral:rRNA from 1 species
UACGUAGGUGGCAAGCGUUGUCCGGAAUUACUGGGCGUAAAGAGCUCGUAGGUGGUUUGUCGCGUUGUUCGUGAAAACUCACAGCUCAACUGUGGGCGUGCGGGCGAUACGGGCAGACUGGAGUACUGCAGGGGAGACUGGAAUUCCUGGUGUAGCGGUGGAAUGCGCAGAUAUCAGGAGGAACACCGGUGGCGAAGGCGGGUCUCUGGGCAGUAACUGACGCUGAGGAGCGAAAGCGUGGGGAGCGAACAGG